ensembl:lncRNA
CCCCCCUCGGUCUCCCCCCUGGGUGCGUGUGUGCGUACCCCUCCCGGCGGCUGACCCCAACCCAGGGCUGACCCUUGGGAAGGAGGGGAUCUAGAAAGGGGACAGCCCCAUUUCGCACCCAGGUGUGCUGCAAUCCGGGCGGGUUGGGUCCCUUCUCCUUAACCCCCGCCUCGCCAGCCGCCGCCGGCGCUCCCCGGAGCCCCGCUCCCCCCGCUCAGCCUCCGCUGCUCAGCCUCCGCUGUACCGCGCUGCCUGCCGCCUUCCUCCCCCCACCGCCCAGCCGCGAUGCAGCAGCAGGGAUGGAGUUGUAGUGGUGCUGGGCGGAGGGGGUGAGGUAAGGGUGGGGGGGAGGUUUGCCUGAUGAUUUUUUUUUUUUUUAAUUUUUUUUUUUUUUCCUCCAAGUGAGGACUAAUACCAUCACUGGGCCUGCUCUCUUUUUCCCUUCCUGCAUUAGAGAUUGGCUAUAAGGAGAAGGCUGACGGCUGCAGCAUGAAGCGCAUUAUUACCUUGUGAUUCCAUGACCCUCCUCUAUGCAUCCCUAACUCUCGAAAGCUGAUUCAGCUUUCAGCUAGUGCUCUGGUGAGUCCUCUGCUGCAACAGAAGCUCCUAACUGGUAUGUCUCUUUUUUUCCUUCCCCUCUUCUGCUCCCUUUCUUCCCUCUAACUGCACUAGCUCAGCUCGUUUUUAAACACUUUUCUGACCGAUGCAGGACUGAGUGCCCAUCCAACUUACCCGGGGACUUAAAUGUCUGCUUUUGCAUCCGGCAAAUGUGUGUGUGCUGCGUGUGUGUGUGUCUGUGUGGGGAUGUGCCGGCUGCCUCUAAUCCAUGGAUGAGUUGGGAGACCUUCCCCCCACCUUUAUUCUUUUUUGUUGUUGUUGUUCUGCUGUGGCAUACUCUGCAUUUAAAGGGGGGGAAAAAAAAAAGGAACAAACUGCAGAGCAAGCAGUGCACUAUAAUAAUCUGAACUGAAAUGUUAGAACUUUGACAUGCAGCCGUUCUGCAAGGUUAAACUGGCCUUUAAAUGCCUAAUUCAGAGCCAGGCUGGCUAAUGACACCUAGGGGGAUUGGGGCUUCAUUUAUUUAUUUGCACCAAACUAGUGGCUCUGAGCUAAUACCAAACAGAGCAAAAGGGUGAAAUGUGGUUAAACUUAGCCUAACUUGCAGUGAUCUCAGUGCUGCGGUGAUUAACUGUUCCAAUGCCGAGAACUGAGCGUUAAUUGCGGACGCAUGGCUUGUGGGCAAUCAGAAAGGAGAUGCAAGGAGAAGUUAGGUUUUCCCUGCAAGGGGUUUGAAUUCAGGUUACACUUCAUCCAUCAAUCGGCUGUUAUUGCUUUUGCAGCUGAGAGUUAGCUGUGGUCAUUAUAUUUUAUAUGAUAGUGGUGAUACCUGAUCACAUAAAUGUAUAUGCAUUGGUAUUGUGUGAGGGGUACUGUGUUAUAUACACGCAUGCACACAAACUGGGAUAUCUUUUAUAGCAUGCAUAUGUAUAUUUUACACGGCUUUAUACAGAGAUAUUAAAUGCUAUUAUAAACAGGUGUAGCACAUGAUCCCAAUACAAUGCACCUUCAGUCUGUGCUUGGAGUAUGGCUAUUUGCAUAUGUCUGUGCUGGAGAGAGUGUGCACUCAGCAGUCGUGUGUAAUUGUGGAGGCAGAGCCCUGUGAUCUGGCUGGCAGUUUAAUUGCUGGUUCCCUGGUGCGGGUGGCCAUGCUGCCGCCCCAAAGGACUGAGCCUGGUCCAUUCCCUGCAGCUCGGCCCUGCUGGCUUCCCUUGGCUGUGCCCAGCCCCAAACCAGGCUGCCUCCAAGUCCCUGAAGUUUUGCACUGCACAGCCACAGCCUGACUUUGCCACCGGGACUGGAGGAGCUCCUCCAGAAUGGGAUAGAGGGAGCAGGUGUACAGCAUCAUGCUUCCAUCCUUCCCACUCCCUCCAUCCCUCCAUCUCCAUCCUUCCCUUUUAUUUGCUCCUUGCACUCUGCACUAUCCACAUUCCCAUGCAUUUUUCCCCCCACAACAACCACAAUUUUAUUGUGCAGCUUUUUCUGCUCUGGGUGAGCCGAGGUGUGUGGAGGAUGCUGGGCGAUGCUCGCCCACCACCCAUUACUCCUGGUGCUCACUGUAGGAUGUGGACCACAAAGUGCCUCUGGCGUCACCAUUAAAUCACCACCACGCCGCAUGUCUGCUCCUCCACCAGCAGGGCCAACCCUACAACUCACAGGCAGAUUGAAAUCUAGAUCCACCGCCUUUCUGGGAGCAACCAACAGAUGAACCUCGCUGCUGCGGUUGUUCCACUGUCUUCAAUAUUUGUAAGGAUUUUAUGUGCCAUCUUUUAGUUCCCUGUAGUUGGCUGGCAUCCCCUUCUCCUGCUCAUCUGCAGAAGUUUGGGACAGUUCAGGACAGUCCAUGGCAGGUGGAUUUCAGGAAAGCAAAUUGGGAGUGAGGUGAAAUGUGCAAUGGUCCAAGACGUCAAGUAGCUGUUCUGUUCCGUUGCUUGGCCUGUUGGUGUUUGUCUGAGGGGAAUUCUACAUGGCCAAGCGACUUGGCCAUGUGAAACCCACCUGAACUCAGUUCUUUGUGGGCUUUUGAGGAAUUCUUUUUAGAAUCGGAGCACCCAGGCUUUCCCUCACGCUCCUCUCCCUUCACUUUAAUUUCACUGCAGUCAUGCAUUAUCAUGGUGCCACAGCUCCAUCUCUCUUCCCCUUACUCCAAACCAGUGGUGGAAAUUUGCCUCAAAAUGAGACAAAUGACGACAUUUAGUGGGGCCAGAAGCCCUGUGGCAGUGAGGAAGGGCACAGUGCCGAACCAGCACUGGGCUCACACCCACUCUGCUGCGUGGUGCAUGGCACUGAGGGGUUGAGAAGAGUCCAUGGGUUUGCACCCCGGCUCUGCGGGGCUUUGCAGCCUGAUGGUGUGGAAGUCAAUCAGCACAGGGAAGUAUUUACUCCCACUCUCCCAGCGAUAUAUUUCACAAAGCAGCGGAAAAAAAAACAAACAAAAAACCAACAACAACAACAACAAAAAAAACACCCAACACAUCGAUACAAUUAAGUAUUCCAAAGUGCUUACUUUGCCACUUGCUAAGUUUACUUAAACCCUCUUUAAAGGCUUCAUUAGAAACCGGUGAGAAAUGGCCAAAUUCAUUAGCGUCGAGGCAGGCGUUGUGCAUUUCGCCUGCAAAUUGCAAUCGAGCGGCGGCGGGGCGAGGGGCGCAGGUGAGCGCACACCCGCUGUGCUGAGCGAGCGGCAGUGCCCGCCGUGACCUCCGGAAUGCCGCCCUGCAUUCAGCCCAGCCACAUUGUUCCGGAGCUUUAAAGCUCAGCGUGGCUGCUGGCGGAGGGCAGAGGCAACGGGAACUGAUGGCUGCGUGUGGGGAUGAGCCCCACGGGGACAACUCCGAAAGACUUUUUUGGCCUAAGCCACCAGCACGGGGCUGGGGCUGCUUUUUAGUUUGCAUCUCUGCUGGUGUCUACCCCAGGUGUGGGGCUCCGCUGGAUGACUUGUGAAAAGCGAAUUGUUUUUUAUAUACGUUUUUUGACUACCCCGAAAUCCCCCGCCCUUCUCCCAAGGUAUAUUGGGGAUUGUUUGCUGCAAGGUAGUGUCACACUCACGGUGACCAGCAGAGGAAAAAUCACUGGAUUCUUUAGGUAAGAUGCUUUCUUCUUCCUAUGCCUUAAUCUCUACUUAGUGCUGGAAACGAUGGCGUGUCUGUAGCUGGUGAGUUCUCUUGCUCUGCCAGAUGGAGCACUUCUUGCUGGUGUUGCUUUGUAAAUCAGUGCCGGAUGCUGGAUUUUGGCUUUCUGAAAGCAAAUUGGCUUCUUGUUUCUAAAUUGCAGGAUGGAGGCGAUCGGGAUUUGAUAUCUACUUAACCUCCACCCACAUGGCUUUGUCUAAAUCUAUAUACACAUAUAUAUAUGCAUAUAUAUAUAUACACAGAAAGCAAAUUCCUUCUACUAAAGCCUUUUUAAUUGCUGAAAGUUUGCAAUUUCAGUGAAAGCAUCCUCUUUGUAGGGGGGCUGGGAGUGGGGCUUUUCCUCUGUGCCAUUCCAUGACAAAGUGCUGCAGGCACUCUAGGCAUUGCCCACUGCCUCUUCCCAGCCCUAAACCCCAGCAACCUGCAGGGGCAGAGCCGGAAUGACCAGCAAGGGGAGUGAGUGUGUGUGUGUGUGUGUGUGUGUGCAUGUGUGUGUUUUGCACAUGGGCUGCCUCAAACUGCGCUGUAACUCACUCCUGGGAAGUAAAUGGCACGCCAGCCCUAUUUCCUCCCGUGUACAUAUAAAUGCGCAUAUUGAACCUACCUGCUUGAGAGACAUACUUCUUUAUAUGCCCAUAUGAACCUGGCAAUCUAUGGAAUGUAAAGAAGUAUGUAUUUCAGGUGGGAACUCUUCUCGGAGGAGCAAUGUAUGACCCCAUGUGAAGGGGGGGGGGAGGAAGACAGACAGAUUUUUGUCUUUUUUUUUUUGAGAUGCCUGACAUGGCAGACUGGCUGGGGAGUCAAUUGGUGAUCUUGUUCCAGUGCGUGUAUUGUUCUGUCACUUUGCCUGUGUCAGCAGGUGGAAAUGCUCAUCAGGACAUUAAAUAUUCAAUAUGCUGACUGCGGCAUGGGCUUUGAAAGGCGAUGCCAGAGGAAAGCUGGCUGUCCACUCCUGGUUUUCAGCGGGGAUACAGACCAGUCCCUCCGGAUUGCUGCUUCCCCCUCGGCCCUUUUUCCCGAAAAUAAGGCUGGGUAACAGAGCUGGUCCUUAAUCCUAGGGAAAAGGAAAGGAGUUGGAGGCGGGGAGAAGAAGGGAAGGAGUUGUGACUUGGAGGUGCAGUAUUUUGGCUUCACGUGAAUACGCAGACAGCUUUUGGGAUGUUUCCUGUGUUAAAACUUUUUGUGCUUAAUGCUGGAGAGGCAGCAAUGUUCACCAUGCGUGUGUUGGCCCUUGGACACGGCCAGUGGGUGCCCAGCUCCCAGCCAGAGGCAGUGAGCGCUCCCAGUGUGUGUUAUUAGAGGGAAAUAAGGAAAAUAGCACCUUGAAUUUGAGAAGCUUUCCUGGUGUUCUGGUUUUCCUUUUUAACCUUUCUCAUCGUAAAACACCUGGUUAUUCUCCCAGCAUCCCACGGCAGUGAGAUGCGGUGAUACAAAUGGGUGUAACGUUCUGUGCGAACAAUCAGAACUUUCUGUCUGGGUAGGGGCGGGUGAAGCUUUCAGCCCCCAUUUUCCUCAAGCUUAUGAGAUGCACAUAUCUGGGCUGUUAGGCACCGCAUUUCUCCAUCCCACCUACUCCCAAACUUAUCCCCAUCACCCCGCCGUGCAGCCGAGGGCACAGCAGUGUUCUGCUCUGGAGCAAGUUCCCUCUGGUUUCAGCACAUCUCUGUGCUUGGCAAAAGUGCUCCGAAGGCCUUUGCUGAGCCUCAGUUUGUUGUGAUUCAUGGCAAGCACCGCUGCCACUUGUUACACGUACACCAAAUGGGGUUUAAUGGAAAGCAGGCACUUGUGAAUAGCAGGUUAAGUAAGGAGGGCUGGGCUCUUAAGGAGAUUUCCAAUGUACAGAAUUCUGUAAGUUUUAUAAAUCUUUCUUUUUUUAGAAAGAUGAUACAAGUGGUGGACACACAUGGAGUGCUCAACCUCUGCUUGGGGGAGGAGGGACCUCUGCUUUGCCAGGUGCUUUGAGGAGAGGCAUUGUCCCCUGGACAGGGAUGGGUCCCAGCCACUGAGGGUGUCCUGCCCCAGUUUGGGGCCACAAUUAAAUACAAAGGUGCUGGGAAAUGAAUAGAGACGGAGCAGCAGAGUUCCCAUGGCCAAACAGGGCUGCAAUUUCUCUCACUUGUACAUCACUGCUGGGAGCUUGACUUGCUGUGUGAAAAAUGGGGAUGAUUCUCACCAUUCUGGCCACAAUAGCAAUUUCCCUCCUCUCCCAGGUGACCCUUUACCCUACCUCUUCUCGAUUCCCUUUUCCUCACUGCUUUCCUCUCCUUCCUUCUUUCCUUGUCUUCUACUUACUUGUGUGCUUCUCAUUUUCUCCUUAUUUCUAGCUUGCUUUCUUGCUUUCAACUCCGCUCUUAUAUUUUUCUCGUCUUUAUUUUCUUUUUUUUCUCUUUUCUUUCAUUCUCUCAUUGUCUUGCUCUUUCUUUUUCUUGUUUUCUUCUCUUUCUCUGCAUUCUCAGCGCGGGUGUUGCUGAGCCUUCCACACCACUGUGCAUAUCUGUAGCAAAGGUGCUCAUGGUCUGAUUUACAACAGAUACCUGCAUCCCUAAUGCAAUUUUUAUCUCCUUCCCCCUCUCUGAAUUAAUAUGCUUGUUAAUCACACGGAAUUGCUAACUUUAGGAAGUCACUAAGUGUUCAGAUUUAUUUUUAUGUAAAUAUUUUCAAAACCAUAACUCAGCUCUGUCUCACGGUGUGGGAGCCACGUGGUGGAGGUGUGCGGGUGCAGAACACAUCCUGAGACCCUACCCCGUCUCUGGUGCAGUGUGGCAAUGCCAAAAAUUAAAUAGAAAUGCUGUAAAGACCCCAAAACCACGUCAGCCCUUUAGUCAUUAGCAUCGUCCACCAGUUUGCGCCGUUCUUACUCUUAGCUCCAGCUCCUUCUCUCUUUUCUUCUUGUUUGGAUUAAAACUGUGACUGUUCCUCCACACUAGGUCCUCCCUAUUUCUUAGUUUGAAGAAAGCCUCUUCUCCUUCGCUCUCCAUAGAGCAAAGCUGCAGGUUCUGUGCUGAAGCGAGGCGCGAUGCUCGGCUGUGCCCAUCCGUCCCGCAAAGCGCGCACUGAGCGGUCCCACCAGCAGAAACGGGAGCUCUGAGGACUGUAAAAGCCAUAAAUCCAGUGGACCAAAUUAGUUACGUUUUCCUAUUCUAUGCCUCACAAAACCCAUCCGUUCUUGAGAUGAAUUUUCUGCACAUAAGAGGAACUACGGGCAGGUAUAGAAUGAGAAUUUUGCACACGCGCAUGGGAGCACGGGGAUGAAUUCGUGCUGUGUGUUUUCCCCUGAAUUAUUUUUUUCCCUUUCAUGUGUUUAUGUUGAUGAGCUAUUAUUACUUUUGUUGCUAUUACUUAAUACUGGAAGACAGGUGGUCCAAUAAAUCCCAGCACUCUUUUUUUGUAAAAAAAAAAAGGGGGGGGGGGGGCAUAUUUGCAAUUCAAGUUUAAUAGUGCAUUCAUCAAGAGCAAUAAAGCAUUCAUUUUAUUGCACGAGUAUUUCAAGGGAUGUGCUGGCCCUGGUGAAAGCAUUAGUAAAGGGGUGCAUCAGCAAUCUCAUUUAAAACUGUCGACCCAAUGUGAAAAAUGUUGCGUUGAAGAAUAAACUGCUAUUAAGCAUGAUUAGAUUGACCUGCAGGACAGAUAUUUUAGCUGCUGCAGCACAAGUCGAUCAAAGUGAGCAUCGCUUAGAUUGCAAAUUUUUUUUUUUUUAAUGCCCUAAAUUAAAAAUGAAAGAGCCUCAGAAUAUUUAGGACCAGAGAGUGACUUUGGGGGUGAGAUUUGUGUGUUUGAUUUGAGGAGGUUUGGAAAGGUGGAGAACGGGGGGAAAACAUAUUAAUUGCUGCCCCUUUAGCAUACAUUGAAAGUAUGUUACUCGGAUCAACCAAUCAAAAAAGAAAUUGUGCUGACUCAGCAUUCGGGCUAGUCUGCACGUCCGAUUGCAGAAGAGAUCAGCACUGCACUGCAGUAUCUUUCCCUGCCUUUGACACCAGCCUAGCUGGGCAGGGCUUCCCUUGUGCUUCCCAGGACUGGGUUAGGCCAAGAACAAGAGCGGGCUCUGAAGAAACGAGGAGAGAGACAAGGUUGCAGGAGCCUUGAGCUGCUCCGAGGCUUUUUAGUCUGUAAGCAAGAGCUUCCAUGCUAGGUUUGCCCUGCCAGAUGCGAGCGGCAUGUAUUGCUUGGGAAUAUAUCUAUUUUUAAAGAGUUUCACCACAUCUUGCACUUCACGGUGGCUGUGGGCGAGGGGGUGGUGUGUUCCUUGCAAGAGAAAUAUCCUCGCUCCGGAGCUCGCAUCCCUCCCCUGAAAGCCGGGCGCUGAUUUCAGCGAUUCCCUCCCAGUGAAGGCGCUCAGUUUAGCGCUUUCUGCUGAAGUUGCUCUUGACCUGAAGCCAUCAUGCAGCAAGAUGCUUCCCUGUUGGGAUGCAGGGUCAUGGCGAGUGCAGCUCAUUGCACCGCCUGCUUGCUGGGCUGCAGGCAGCUAUGCUGCUCCCCUGCCUUGCAUUCCCCCAGAGGGAGGGGGCUGCUCAUGUAGAGAUGCUGAAGCCAUUGCAGGGAUAGGACUGGAGAAGGUCUUGGUGCAAUUACCCAAGAACAAGCUCAUUCUGAGUGUGUAAUGGCCAAAAUGCAAAGUCUUGUGCAGCCUCCUCAACAGGCAGAGCUCCAAGCCGCCUGCCUCCUCUGACACCCUGUAAUUCUCCAAAGGAGAUUCUGCUCACACUGUGUAAGCAGUGUCAGCAUUCACCCUUGCUUUGAGCUUGCAUUUCUUGCAUAGAGGUCUGUAUGAAGGAACAGAGGCCAAUAGCCAUGUGCACGGGUGGAAGGUUGUCAGAGGACAGACACACUUGGAAUAAGAGGCAAGUUUAUAGUGAAGCUUUUAGCAGUUGGAGCAGUUUUGGUGGUGCUCAGGAUGCUUUGAUGGAAACAGGGUGUCUGACAUCUUAAAACAGAUGCAGCUUUUCCUUUUUUCCAUCUUUUUUUCUUUCCUCUUUUCUCGGAGCGCAGCACUCUGCCUGUGCCAUGUCCAGAUAUGGCCUGCGCUGGGAUGGGAGCUGCUAGCUAAAAAAGCCACAGGCAGCCCAGCGGGACCAGCAGCAGCUGGUAUAAAUAGUGCUCAUUCUCAGCUGCCCCUCUGCCGGGCCGGAUUAGGUGGCAUCUGGGCAGCCAGGGGCUCGUGACCACCGGCUGCAGAAGUCCCCAAGCAGCUGUGAGGGCAGGAGCCGUCCCUGCAAAGCCCUUACAUAGGCACGUCGACCCUGGCAUUUGGGGGGUCGGGUAAAGCUACCGGAGCAGGAAUCCGGUGACCUAAGAAUGAUCAGGAAUAAAUUUCAUCGCGGCAUCCAGGCAGAGCUUCCAAUCUGGGACAUGGCCCAAGGUUGGAGGCAGGAUCUGGCCUUCUGCUUUUUACCCCAUUGCAUGCAUGUGGAAUCUGCAGGGAUGGUGAAGCAUUGCUCAGAGUGGCCAAGAUGCGGUUGCGUCCCCCUCUAGGACACAAUGAGUUAAUUUACUGUCAGUGAGAUUAUUGGAAUCUGAUUUAAUACUUGUGUUUACUUCAGGUCAACAAAUUAAAAAAAAAACCAAACCAACACCACAACAAAGCUUAAUAAUUUAAGGCACCAGCUUGAUGGAGGCUAAUAGAAAAUAAUGCAUCUCGUGCAGAGAUUUCCAUCCCAAGCUUGCAGAGCAUGCAGUGUGUGCCCCUCCUGCCAUGCCUGCAGUCAGUGCCAUGGGAAGGGGCGGUGUGGUGCCUGGAGGCAGCUCAUGAUGUAUGGAAGUAAAAAAAAUUGAGCAGUGAAUGGGAUUGGUUUGAUUGAGUGGAGAUAAACGCGCAGGCAGUAGCUGAAAUGUGAUGUGCGUAGUGGGGGAUGUGGGAUAAAACUCUGUUGGCAUCACAGGUCAGAGUAGAGAGGGUCUGCUGGCGGGCAGGUGAUGCAUGGGUGGGCACAGGUGAUACUCAGCGUAUGAGUAAAGGUUGUUGCAGAGUGUGUUGGGGAUGGUCCCAAAGUGACCACAGUCUGGGUAGGAGAUGCCUGGAGCCUUCAGGUGCACUGGGAGAUGCGGCACUACUCACAGGGUGAGAUGGCAGUUCCUUAGUGGGGAAUGGCUUCACCGCUAAAUCAGUGCCGGAGCUUUGUCCCUUCCCUUCCUUGCCGUACGGGUCAGGGCUCUGAGCCACACCAGGUUGUGUUCUUUAAUUUAAGCUUUGUCCUAAAGUCUUGUCUCAGAGAUAAUAAGACGCACACACAUACGCACCCGCUAAAAUCCAUUGUGCCAUUUUUGCAAAGAACAGCAGAAGCUGCCCGUGUGCCUUCCCCUCUCUGUCCUCCACACUCAUUUGGCCUAUUUGAAGUGGAAUUUAUUCCUGGGAAGGUCCCCAUCAAUUUGCCUUGCUCUUUUGUUGACAAGUUUAUUAAAAACCUGGGCAACUCCAUAUUAAACUUUUAUCAGUGUCGAGGAAGAAUACGUCCUUAGAGCGGCCACAAAAGUUAUGGAUUGGAUCUGAACAUUUCUUGUUCCACUGUCCAGCUGAGUCAGCUUAACAAAUAAAAGCUGCCACCUCCAUUUUUUUCCCUUCCUCAAGAGACAGUUCCCUUUCCCGUGUAAGUAACAGCAGCAAUAACACAAGGAGGUUUCAGGGCCGGGCAAACAGGAGCUUUUCUUUGCACCCACCAGUCCUUACUGCUGAUUAGAAUAAUAAUAUUAACAGAAAACAGGAAUAAAAUAAGAGCCCUGCCGGUAGUUAUAGCUUCUUACCUCUGAGCUAAUUGUUUGUGUAAAGUAAUCUCUACUUUAUAGACAAAUAUACGAAAAAAAUACCCCCCAAAGUUAAUAUGGGUUGUACUGAGAGCAACGUGAGUAGUUUCACAUUUCCAUACCCUGCAAGGGCACGGAGGGUUGGCAGCGCGGCCGGCGGCAAUGCUCGGUUGGGGAUGUGCGGAACCGUCGCUCUUAUUCCUUUAGUUGUAAGAUUAAACCAAGAGGAGGCCAACGUGUUGCAGGGGAGAUGUUAAAAAUAAAGCGCUGGCAUCGCAUAACCUAGUUCCUGUUUUGCCUUGCAAUGGAGUUUUUAUGAGUUGAAAGAAACCGGCGAAACAAUCGGUGAGACGGAUUUUGAGCUGCCAGAACGGAGACAGGCAGGGGAGAAGUGAACCGAGUGGUGGCUCUUAACCUCUGCCAGAUAAAUAAAUAAAUAUCUGUCCCCAAACAACAUAUUUCUUGGCCUGUCACCGCGUCCAAGGAUUUUUUAGUUCUUAAACAGGUUUGCUGGCAUAAUUUGUCAAGUACAACAGGGAGGUUUCCGUGUGACAGAGGAUCAUUUUUCACCGCGCACGGUGGGGCACUGAAACAGUCCUGCAGGCUCAGAGCAGCUCCAUAAUUAGAUAACAGUUAACAUACGUGUAUUAGAGGGAUCAUCCUUCAUGCUAUGGGGCACAGCAGAGCCUGCCACUGCCGAUACCGUGCUGUGCCGAAAGCAGGCAGGGAGCGGGCCGGACAAAUGCAUCUUACUCCAGGAGUUUAUCUGCAUCACCAUUUGCUCCAAUUAUAACUAAUUGGACACAUAUUGCAUUUUCAUAGCAUCUAAUUUUCUAUUGAUUUUAACGGGACUGAUGGUGUUUUGUACUGUUAAGUGGUAUCUCGUACCCGUUGUUGUUUAAAAAUGCUGAGUACACUCCCCUGUAUGGAAUUAUGCAGUCAGCAGAUGUUUUAAAACCUCUUUAAUUGUUCGGUCCAUAAAAUGCACAAAGUGUAUUAGGGAACAGCUUUGUUCUCUUUGAGUGUGUGAGUUUAAAAAUCCAAACUCCAAACUAUUUCUGCUGCCAGUUCCAGGAGCUGCAGCUCUCAGCGGGCAGCCCUGUCCCAGGGGUGGGCUCCCUGCUGCAAUGGAUGCUCCGCAGUUCUUAGGCUGUGUAUGAAGCAGGACCUUCAGCUCCAGGGUGAAAUUUGGAUUAAGACGAAGAUGUUCAUAUUGAGAGUCAAGAUUUUGAUAAGGUCACUUGUGGUCUUCUGUAUAACUAAGGAAUAAGCUGGUAAUUGGUAGGAUUUGGGGUUAUAUUCUCUGUUAUAGAUCUUGCUCUCUGUCUCGACAGUACGUCCAAAUAAAACCGGACUAUCAAAUUAGCCACUGCAUUUCAGCAAAUACUCAGUGAAGCAGGAUGAAAGCAAUAGUCCUCUGUUCAGCAUCAUUUAAAGAAGAAAAGAUUUAAAUGAGAUAUGUAGUGGAGGAGCAGAGAGGCAGCCGGGAAAAAGCUUUCCUAGCAUUGAUCAUUACAAGCAUGGUGGAGAUUUGAACGCUUCGGAUAUUGGCAUAUGAGGAAGAAGGUUUUUAUGCUGAGGGCGGUGAAGCACUGGCACAGGUUGCCCAGAGAGGUGCCCCAUCCCUGGAGACACCCAAGGUCAGGCUGGAGGGGCUCUGAGCACUGAUGGAGCUGUGGGUUUCCCUGCUCAUUGCGGGGGGUUGGACCAGAUGGGCUUUAAAGGUCUCUUCCAAAUCAAGCCAUUCUGUGACCCUGUGAUUAAAGGUAGAUAGGGCAGGCAAUAGGAUAUGGGAAUUGUUCUGCCUGGGGUGCCUGUGGGCUGCCAUCAACCCGCUGCCUUCUCCAGCCAUUAGCAAGAAUUGCAUCAUGUUGGUGGGAGACAGGUGGGAUCAUGGAGGUGUAUAAACUAAAUAGACACUUUAUUAAGUUCAGGUAAUAGUUUUGAAAGACUGAGUGGCUACUGCACUGUCAGCAGCUCCUUUAGUGCCCAUAGGAACUGAGUGCUUUUUAAUUAAGUCAAAUAAAAUCCAAGCGGAAGACUUCCCAGCCUUGGCUGAAGCAUAUUUUUUGGGUUGAAUACCUAUAAUUUUAGAAAUGUUAAUAAAACACAGUCCACUUUUUCCCCUGUAAUAAUAUAAAUUAAAUUAAUAUUUUAUGUCUGUAAGAAAAAGGAUAAAAGCACCGAGGUUGUAUUUUCUGGCUUACAAAUGGCACAUUGUGCAGAAUACAGCAACUGUGGCAUUGAUUUAAACAUCCUCGCAAAGACACCAUGCAAUAAAGUUGAAUCAUCUGCAGUACAAGUAUGGCUGUUUGGGGGAAAAAUAGCCAAAUGAGAGAGCAGACGUUUUCCUGUAUUAUCAAAAGCCACUUCAUUUUGGGGAAAAUUCCUCAGAUUUAGUGACAUUUGGAUGGAAAUCAAAUAACACAUUAACUUGAGGAAAGGGAAAAAAACCUUCCAAAGCUAAUUACAGAGGGAAUGUGCACUUCAUUAAGAUAAAGCUGUAAGAAAUCAAUGUUCUGUAUUGUUGUUUUUUCCUUUUGAUUGGAUUUUAGCAUGAUAAAUUGUUAAUGCAUUUGAUCUAAAAAUGAUUUGUUUAUUCAGAUGAAGAGCAACAGUACUUUGUCUCAUUUGGCCUUUUAGCUUAUAAUGAUAAUGAUUUCAAGAGAUGUUCAUUUCUCAAAAGGGUAUUGGACUGGAAUAAGCAGGAGAUUUCUGGACUCAGAAGGAUGGGCCCUACACAAGGGAUCCUUGUAGGCUAAUUCUAUUGCAUGUUGAAUCUUCUGCUUCAUUAGGAAUAUCGACAAAUGUUGAUAAAUUCUUUGGCUAUUCUGUGCUGUCUAUAUAAAACAUCUUCAUUAGAAUGUUGAGGCUAAAGCACAAAGGUCUUCAUUGCCCCAGGUUCUCUUAUGUUGCCCACUUUUGGCCCCACUUGCCAUGGCAGUGCUUUGAUAACACAGGGAUCUGGCUGCUCUCAGAAGUGUAAUCAUGAACUGCAAAGCUGACACUUAGACCAAAAGCAAAACCGAGGCAUUACACAGUGACUGGCAGAGAGGGGAAUGAGAUGCACAGCUUUAUUUUGCUAUUUUGCCUUGGAUUUGCUUCAGAGAUGUGUUCCUAUAUCUCCCCAGUGCCAUUCCACUAUGUGGCCAUUCCUGGCUGGGGCGGUGUCGGUCCCAUGGGCAGGGUCCUAGGGACAGAGCGACCAGAAAGGACCUUCCCAGUGAGACCCAAUUCCAAGCACUGCUGGGAGGAAACAACUGGAUGAGGAUGACCUUCAGACAGCAAACCUAAAUUUGGUGGCACUGGGUCGCCCGGUCCUUGAACCUGGGAGGGCAGUAGGAAGGGUAAGUGACACCAAAGCCUGGUCUGACUGGGUUUCAGCACAGCUCACACCUUUGAACACAUCCAGCAAAGCCUCUGCAGUUCCUCUUGCUGCACUGCUGGCCGGGCCCAGGUGUGUGGGGGCUGUGAGCCCCAUGUGCUGCAGCCCUGCAGCAGAGGUGUGGGGAUGCUUUUCCUCAGUUCUGGGAAAGCCUCGCCGCCAGAGCCAUCGUUAGUCGUGAUUAAUGGCAUCCAGAAGAGAAAACCUAAUUUUCUAAAAAGGAAAACCUCACUCAUAACUCACUGCAGAGAAUUCAAACAAAACGUUACGGAAUGUCGGCGCGUGCUGGCAUUGAUUUCGGAUGUGCUGCGGGGCACUCCCUGAAGCAAAGCGAGGGGAACAGAGCAGCACUCAUCUCCAGCAGAAGAUGCUUGUUUUAACGCCCUUCCUGCCAAAACCAAUGGGAUGGGGACAGGACAAGGGCACCUGGAGCACGCCAUGCUGAUGUUCGGGCAGUUCAUUGCUCUGCCUCCCAAAAUCCACAUGCCCGUCAGGGUUCAGCUUGCAGUCUCGGUGCAGCAUCGGUCACUGCUGGCACUUCCACCUCCUCCCGUUCUCUGGUAAAUAAUUACUUCCCUCCCUCCUAUAACUCACCAAAGGAUGAGUUUAAUACUUCUAGGUCCUCACUGUCUAAGUUUCCAUUUAGCUCCUUGGCUUGAUUGUCUCUUGAAAAGGUACCUAGAGAUAACUCGAUUAAAUUAAUUGUAGAGCUCUUUUAAAAAAGAUGUUCUCUCUCUCUUUCGCUCUCUCUCCGCAUUUAUUUAUAGGCAGCUUACAGUACUGGGGCUGGGCAGUUAAGUGAUCUGCACUACUUACUGUUACAAUGCAAAGCCUGGAUUUCUUGGGGACCAGCAAUGCCGGCCCACCUGCAAUAUCUCUGCAUGCAGUGCCUUUCAGCACAGAUCUGAAAGCCAUGGAAAGCACUGAUUUUAAAGGUAGAUGAGAAAACUUGAGUUACCAGAAUGCAGGGCACAGGUGGGGAUAGCAGACAAAAGAUCUGAAAGAAAGAAGGCUGGAGGUGGCAAUUAAAUGACCUGGAUUAGGACACUACUCAGUCACACUGUGGUAGCAAUGCAGCUUCAAAACAGAGCCAAACACCGGGUUUAAAAGGCUACAGGCAGGCACUGAGUGCUGCAGACUGUUCCACUGCUUUUAAAACUGCCUCUUUAAUUCAGACUCGCUCUUCAGCCAAAGCUGCUAAGAAGCUUAAAUAAAUCCUGAAUGCCUGAAAGCGAAGCCAUGUGAACCCGUGCAACGUCAGGCAGCAAGUUCAGAAGAGGUCCUGGCGACUGUGAAGGAAAAGGCCCUGAGGAGUUCCCCUCUUUGCUUUGCAGAGCGUGAGGCCAAAUGCUUUGCUAAAGCUGGUAAAAUGGAACCAAAUCAACUGUUCAAUGGAUUUGGUCCCCUUCAACCAGCUGUAGCUGUGCAUUGAUCUCUCAGACGCACCUCGGAGGCUGACCCGGACAGCAGAAGAAAUGGGCACGUGAGAGGGGCCAAGGAGGGAUGCUGAUGGCUGGCGUCUGCAGAUCUGUCACCCGGGCUCUAAACUGGUGGGCUGAGCCCGAGCCAUUAUGUGGCUGCCAGUCAAUUCUGUGUAACGGAGACCACUCAAGAUUGAUAAUCUCUAUCGUCCUCCUGUAUUGAUCCCAGCUGUGAUUCAGGUCUGUGUAUUUCAAGUGCAAAUGCUGUACGUUUUACAUGUGAUUGCUCAGACACCUCCCCCCCAGGAGCCUCGUGCCUGUGUUUCAUCCACUGCAAUGAAGAAUAAACGUUUUGAUCUGAAGUUCCCUCCUUGUGUUUUGUUCCAUGCGCUGAGCUGCUCACGAAAUGGGAAUUCUGGGGCUGGCAAGGCAGGGAAUGGGGUGGAAGCACCUGCUGCUUCCCAGCUGCCCCAAACUGGCCAGCAAUAUUGGGUGAUUUGAGAGAUAAUAGCUUUGUUCCAAAAAAAAGUCUCCAUUUGAAUGUGUUGGGCUUAUGUUUCUAAAGACCUGUGAACUGUCUGCUGGUCUAAUCCUCAUAAGCACAAAUAUUAUGCUAAUGGACUUAAAGAAAAUCACUGGUUUUCCCCAUGUCAUAAUGAUUGUUGGGAAAGGACGUUGGGCAUCAUCUCUUCCUAAGUACUGUAAAUCUAUAGGACUAUCACAAGCUAUUACUGCUGGUAUAAUGAGCCAUUUGGAUGCAUAAGUCUGAUAUGAGAUUGCUCACAUCUUUACUUUUUAAAGAUACCUGGCCCAGGAUAACCCCUGGCAUUAGAGGAGGCAGACAUUUCUCUCUUUUCUUAUGUAGGAAACUGGGUCGCCUGACUCCAGGUCCCCAGUCCCUCAGGUACCGCUUAAAUGUUCUUAAUAGUAUCAGGAGUAUUCACAUGCUUUAAGAGAUGGAGCUAUUUGCUAGAUUUGAGGUUUAACGUGCGUCUAAUUUUUAUGUCACUGAGUGUUUUAAAGACAAAGACAUGAGGAGCAGUGGAGCUGCAGGAGCAUCCCUCCUCAGCUAAAAGGAAACCCAUGCUUUCCUCUGUAGCUCAUUUUUCUCACCUUAAGUGUCAAAGCGUCUAUGCUGAAGUCCUACUGAAAUCCAAAUAGUGGUUUGGUUGUUGUUGUUUGUUUUUUUUCCAUGUAUUCCGUUAGAUCAGGCAAAUACCUGGUACUUUUUCCUGAGAACAAGUUGGGGUUGAGGAGCAUGUGCAGAGCUGAGGGCUCAGGUCUCCAGCUCUCCCCUUUGGGAAGCAGUAAUCGCUUCUCACACUGAAAAGAAUGCUUGGGUGUCAAAAGUUCCCUCAGAGUGAACAGCAUACACUGAGAAUACCUUCCAUGCUGAAAUCCCCUCUUGCUGCAGCCUGGGCAGUGAUGACAGAUAAGUUUCUAGGGAGCUUCUGGGAAGAUAAGUUGUUUGUUCUGUUAUUUUCUUCUUUUCCUGUGGUUCAUCAAUCUCUUAGUGUAAAUAUGUCGGGGAGGAGAAGCAGUUGUAUCAGCACUGAUCAGGUAUAUUUGCUGCAUUCGUUCUGAAAAAUGCAUAAGUGGGAAGCUGUGCAUGAACUGUUGGAGGAGGAUGUUCUCCUUCACACCACCCUGGAAAUAUAUAAAAGAAAUAAUUAUUUUUUUUUUUUUUUCCAAAAAUGCAACGUCUCUACAAACACCCACCAGUGCAUCCAGAAGGGCUUUAUCCUUGUCUAAUAGGAGAUGCCCAAGCCCUUACAACAUGAAGUUGCAAAUAUUUUAGCCUGUAAACAGAGGAAAGUGAGUAGCUCCAAUGAAUCUCUGCAGCAUCAUGGGGCAAAUUGACAUCCAUGCGCAGGAAGGAUGCUCGUGGCUUUACAGCCACAGCACGUGGCAAAAUAGCCAAUGGUCACCACCUCUGCAGCUGCAAGCUGCAGGCACGCAUUUUUGCACACUCUUUUCCCUGCCAAUUGUUUGCUUUGUAAUCAACAGUGCUGGUUUCUGGGCAUUAUCCAAUCCCACCCCCUAAUUUUGCAUCAAGUGAAAGCAUCAGUGAAGACAGGAAUGAGCGUGCAUGCAGAAUCGCUGUGCAAAUGCCACCCUAAAGCUCUUGCUGCCAAACCCAAGAUUCAUAAGCAAGGAAGGAUGGGGAUGAAAGCACUGGGGAAAGGAAUCUCCAGCACAAACAGGCAGUUUGGGCUGUGGGUGAUACUGGGACAGGUUGAGUAGAACCGGGUGCUUCCAGCAGGCUGUGGCUUGGCUUUCCAAAAUAGCAUGCUCCCCACUCCUGCAGUCUGGGUUAUUCUCCCUCACUCCCCAAGGCUGCAUUCGGUGUAAACAGCACCUUUAUUAAAAUUCUUCCUUCGGAAUGUUAAUUAAAUUACUAAAAAAUGACAAAUGGGGAAGCUGAAGACAUCACAACUGGAACAAAACCACGGAAUAUAACUGAAAAGGUUUUCUCCUGGUGAAGCAUGGGUGGACAAGGGCUCACCUGCUGCAGCAGCUCAGGGUGAUUUCUUUUAAUGGGGCUCCCAGGCUUUGGCUGUUGGCAUCUACACAGAUCCCAGGCACAUGUUCCUCUGCAGGAAAUACUGAAAGCAUUUGUUGUUCCAGAAAUCCUCCCAUAACAGUGCUGGAUAUAUGUGGGAACAGUGGU